rnacentral:tRNA from 1 species
GCGGGCGUAGUUCAAUGGCAGAACAUAAGCUUCCCAAGCUUGUGAUGGCGGUUCGAUUCCGCUCGCCCGCU